rnacentral:rRNA from 1 species
UACGGAGGAUGCGAGCGUUAUCCGGAUUUAUUGGGUUUAAAGGGUGCGUAGGCGGACGCUUAAGUCAGCGGUAAAAUUGCGGGGCUCAACCUCGUCGAGCCGUUGAAACUGGGUGUCUUGAGUGGGCGAGAAGUACGCGGAAUGCGUGGUGUAGCGGUGAAAUGCAUAGAUAUCACGCAGAACUCCGAUUGCGAAGGCAGCAUACCGGCGCCCAACUGACGCUGAAGCACGAAGGCGUGGGUAUCGAACAGG